rnacentral:misc_RNA from 1 species
UACGAAGGGGGCGAGCGUUGUCCGAUGUUAUUGGGCGUAAAGAGUUCUGUAGGCGGACUUGUAAGUUAUAGGUAAAAUGUACCGGCUCAACCGGUAUUCUGCCUGUAAUACUGUAAGUCUAGAGGGAGAUAGGGACCAACGGAACGCAUGGUGUAGUAGUGAAAUGCGUUGAUAUCAUGCGGAACACCGAAGGCGAAGGCAGUUGGUUGGAUCUCUCCUGACGCUGAGAGACGAAAGCGUGGGGAGCGAAAGGG